rnacentral:rRNA from 2 species
UACGUAGGUGGCAAGCGUUGUCCGGAAUUAUUGGGCGUAAAGGGAGCGCAGGCGGGAAGGUAAGUCGGUCUUAAAAGUGCGGGGCUCAACCCCGUGAUGGGAUCGAAACUAUCUUUCUUGAGUGCAGGAGAGGAAAGUGGAAUUCCUAGUGUAGCGGUGAAAUGCGUAGAUAUUAGGAGGAACACCAGUGGCGAAGGCGACUUUCUGGACUGUAACUGACGCUGAGGCUCGAAAGCCAGGGGAGCGAACGGG